rnacentral:rRNA from 1 species
UAAGGAAUAUUGGUCAAUGCCCGGAAGGGUGAACCAGCCAUCCCGCGUGAAGGAUGAAGGGGCUCUGCCUUGUAAACUUCUUUUGAAUGGGACGAAAAAGCCUCACUUGUGAGGAACUGACGGUACCAUUAGAAUAAGCACCGGCUAACUCCGUGCCAGCAGCCACGGUAAUACGGAGGGUGCGAGCGUUAUCCGGAAUCACUGGGUUUAAAGGGUGCGUAGGCGGCUGUAUAAGUCAGUGGUGAAAGGCUGUGGCUUAACCAUGGGAUUGCCAUUGAUACUGUACGGCUUGAAUUAGGAUGAGGUUGGCGGAAUGUGACAUGUAGCGGUGAAAUGCUUAGAUAUGUCAUGGAACAUCGAUUGCGAAGGCAGCUGACUAGACCUUAAUUGACGCUGAGGCACGAAAGCGUGGGGAGCGAACAGGAUUAGAUACCCAAGUAGUCCCUGAGCGGGCUGGCAAGGCG